UAGCGUAAUAAUUUGUUUUUUAAUUGAAGGCUAGAAUGAAAGGUUUGACACGGUAAGGCUGUGUGGUCAGAAUAGGUGAAUUUUAAGUUUAAGUUAAAAUGCUUAGAUGCGUAAAGGGACGAUAAGACCCUAAAAUCUUUACUAUUAUGUAGGUUAGCUGGGGCAGUUUAAACUGUAGAAUUGUUUUUAGUUAAACGAUAUAACGGAGGGAGAUCUUUUAGAUGAAAAUUAUUGAUUUAGAUACUUUAGGGAUAACAGCAUAAUAAUUUUGGAGAGUUCUUAUAGAUAAAAUUGAUUAUGACCUCGAUGUUGAAUUAAUUAACUUUUUGAGGAAUAAGGCAUAAGUAGAAGGUUUGUUCAACCUUUAAUAUAUUACGUGAUUU
rnacentral:rRNA from 1 species